GCGUUCUUAGCUCAAAUAGGAUAGAGCAGGUCUUUCCUAAAGAUCAGGUUAUCGGUUCGAUUCCGGUAGGACGCA
rnacentral:tRNA from 3 species